rnacentral:precursor_RNA from 8 species
CUGUGUCUGUGUAACCUGCAGUAUUCUGCCUGAUAUGUUUGCAUUUGGGUUGACAGUGGAGACAUGAAAAACUCAACCUAAUCCAGACAUAGCACGUAGCGUCGUGCAAAUAGUGUAGCCCCUAUG